rnacentral:rRNA from 1 species
UACAGAGGGUGCGAGCGUUGUUCGGAAUUAUUGGGCGUAAAGGGCGCGUAGGCGGCGCGGUAUGUCACCUGUGAAAUCUCCUGGCUCAACUGGGGAGCUUGCAGGCGAAACUGCCGUGCUGGAGUGUGGGAGAGGUGCGUGGAAUUCCUGGUGUAGCGGUGGAAUGCGCAGAUAUCAGGAGGAACACCGAUGGCGAAGGCAGGUCUCUGGGCCAUUACUGACACUGAGAAGCGAAAGCAUGGGGAGCGAACAGG